ACAGAGGGUGCGAGCGUUAAUCGGAAUUACUGGGCGUAAAGCGCACGUAGUCGGCUUUGCAAGUCUGUUGUGAAAUCCCCGGGCUCAACCUGGGAACUGCAUCCGAGACUGCAUUGCUAGAGUAUGGGAGAGGAAAGCGGAAUUUCUGGUGUAGCAGUGAAAUGCGUAGAUAUCAGAAGGAACAUCAGUGGCGAAGGCGGCUUUCUGGACCAAUACUGACGAUCAGGUGCGAAAGCGUGGGGAGCAAACAGG
rnacentral:rRNA from 1 species